AUUGAACGCUGGCGGAAUGCUUUACACAUGCAAGUCGGACGGUAGCACAGGGGAGCUUGCUCCCCGGGUGACGAGUGGCGGACGGGUGAGUAAUGUCUGGGAAACUGCCUGAUGGAGGGGGAUAACUACUGGAAACGGUAGCUAAUACCGCAUAACGUCGCAAGACCAAAGAGGGGGACCUUCGGGCCUCUUGCCAUCAGAUGUGCCCAGAUGGGAUUAGCAAGUAGGUGGGGUAACGGCUCACCUAGGCGACGAUCCCUAGCUGGUCUGGGAGGAUGACCAGCCACACAGUAACUGAGACACGGUCCAAACUCCGACGGGAGGCAGCAGUGGGGAAUAUUGCACAAUGGGCGCAAGCCUGAUGCAGCCAUGCCGCGUGUAUGAAGAAGGCCUUCGGGUUGUAAAGUACUUUCAGCGGGGAGGAAGGUGUUGUGGUUAAUAACCACAGCAAUUGACGUUACCCGCAGAAGAAGCACCGGCUAACUCCGUGCCAGCAGCCGCGGUAA
rnacentral:rRNA from 1 species